UGGCUCAUUAAAUCAGUUAUCGUUUAUUUGAUAAUACCUUACUACUUGGAUAACCGUGGUAAUUCUAGAGCUAAUACAUGCUGAAAAUCCCGACUUCGGAAGGGAUGUGUUUAUUAGAUAAAAAACCAAUGCCCUUCGGGGCUCCUUGGUGAUUCAUGAUAACUUUACGGAUCGCAUAGCCUUGCGCUGGCGACGGUUCAUUCAAAUUUCUGCCCUAUCAACUUUCGAUGGUAAGGUAUUGGCUUACCAUGGUUUCAACGGGUAACGGGGAAUUAGGGUUCGAUUCCGGAGAGGCAGCCUGAGAAACGGCUACCACAUCCAAGGAAGGCAGCAGGCGCGCAAAUUACCCAAUCCCGACACGGGGAGGUAGUGACAAUAAAUACUGAUACAGGGCUCUUUUGGGUCUUGUAAUUGGAAUGAGUACAAUUCAAAUCUCUUAACGAGGAACAAUUGGAGGGCAAGUCUGGUGCCAGCAGCCGCGGUAAUUCCAGCUCCAAUAGCGUAUAUUAAAGUUGUUGCAGUUAAAAAGCUCGUAGUUGAAACUUGGGCCUGGCUGGCGGGUCCGCCUCACCGCGUGCACUCGUCCGGCCGGGCCUUCCUUCUGAAGAACCUCAUGCCCUUCACUGGGCGUGCUGGGGAAUCAGGACUUUUACUUUGAAAAAAUUAGAGUGUUCAAAGCAGGCCUUUGCUCGAAUACGUUAGCAUGGAAUAAUAAAAUAGGGCGUGCGUUUCUAUUUUGUUGGUUUCUAGAGACGCCGCAAUGAUUAACAGGAACAGUCGGGGGCAUCAGUAUUCAGUUGUCAGAGGUGAAAUUCUUGGAUUUACUGAAGACUAACUACUGCGAAAGCAUUUGCCAAGGAUGUUUUCAUUAAUCAGUGAACGAAAGUUAGGGGAUCGAAGACGAUCAGAUACCGUCGUAGUCUUAACCGUAAACUAUGCCGACUAGGGAUCGGGCGAUGUUCUUUUU
rnacentral:rRNA from 1 species